rnacentral:rRNA from 1 species
GACGAACGCUGGCGGCGUGCUUAACACAUGCAAGUCGAACGAGACGAUUUAGAAGCUUGCUUUUAUUGAGUCGAGUGGCAAACGGGUGAGUAACGCGUAGACAACCUGCCGCAAAGAUGGGGACAACAGUCCGAAAGGACUGCUAAUACCGAAUGUUGUAUCUCCUCCGCAUGGAAGAGAUAUUAAAGAUGGCCUCUACUUGUAAGCUAUCGCUUUGCGAUGGGUCUGCGUCUGAUUAGCUAGUUGGUGGGGCAACGGCCUACCAAGGCGACGAUCAGUAGCCGGUCUGAGAGGAUGAACGGCCACAUUGGAACUGAGACACGGUCCAGACUCCUACGGAGGCAGCAGUGGGAAUCUUGCACAAUGGGCGAAAGCCUGACGGAGCAACG